AUGAAUUAAGCUUGGGGAUGCUGAUACGUCUCCAACAUAUCUAUAAUUUUUGCUUGUUCCAUGUUGUUAUAUUAGCAUUCUUGGAUGUUUUACAAUCAUUUUACUACAACUUUACAUUAUUUUUGGGACUAACCUAUUAAUGGUUGCAAAAUUGCGCAAGUUCUUGUUUCACACUUUGAUUUGUAGGAAUUAAUUACAAAUUGUCGAAAAAAUGCAAAAGAAUCCUUGUUGGAGGAAGACUCUGACUCUCCUAAAAUAUGUCCACAAACAGUUUUUAGAGAUCAUCAAUUUGACCGCCGAAGUCCACGUCAAGUGGAAAACGCUACAACUAGGAAAGUGUGGAGCAUUUUAUGGCAAUGAUUCUGGAUUACAAAUUCGUCCAAAACGGAGUUUGUAUGCGAUCUGGAGACCUUUUUACUGAAGGAAUAUAUCUGAUUACGGGAUCACGAGAAUUGUUGACGUGAUUGAGUUAAACUCUUAACAUAUCUGAUAUAUUCGGCCAAGCCACAACUUUGGAGACUCAUGAGGGCUGUGAGGAUCCCCUAAGAAGGUUCUAGAGGUGCCCGAAAGCCAUUGGAUCAAGGGUCCAUCCAUCGGAGGGCCAUAGAGCACCACAAAGGCACAUAUAAGGAGAGGAAAACCCUAAUUUUUGUAGAGCCACCAAGAUCCACGAAUUUUCCUCUCCCUUGUCAUCCGCCAAGAAGGGGAGAGGCUCCUCCAUUGCAGCACCUAGACCAAGGAAGUAAGAGGGGCAAGGGGCCGCUGCCCGUCACCACCGUCGCCGGUGCUGUGGCCGCCAUCGCCUCCAUCUCUUCAGGGUUGUACCUCUCCAUCAACAAAUCUCUCUUUCUCACCAUAAUAAUGUGUGAGUAAUCCUCCUUGGGGCUGAGGGUAUGUACUAGUAGCUAUGUGUUCAAUCUCUCUCUGUCAUGUUCUUGAGAUGGCACGA
rnacentral:lncRNA from 1 species